UGCCUCAUAGCUCAAUUGGUAGAGCAAGCAGCUGUUAACUGCGCGGUUGUAGGUUCAAAUCCUACUGAGGCAG
rnacentral:tRNA from 1 species